UCAGGAUGAACGCUAGCUACAGGCUUAACACAUGCAAGUCGAGGGGCAGCAUGGUCUUAGCUUGCUAAGGCCGAUGGCGACCGGCGCACGGGUGAGUAACACGUAUCCAACCUGCCGUCUACUCUUGGACAGCCUUCUGAAAGGAAGAUUAAUACAAGAUGGCAUCAUGAGUCCGCAUGUUCACAUGAUUAAAGGUAUUCCGGUAGACGAUGGGGAUGCGUUCCAUUAGAUAGUAGGCGGGGUAACGGCCCACCUAGUCUUCGAUGGAUAGGGGUUCUGAGAGGAAGGUCCCCCACAUUGGAACUGAGACACGGUCCAAACUCCUACGGGAGGCAGCAGUGAGGAAUAUUGGUCAAUGGGCGCAGGCCUGAACCAGCCAAGUAGCGUGAAGGAUGACUGCCCUAUGGGUUGUAAACUUCUUUUAUAAAGGAAUAAAGUCGGGUAUGGAUACCCGUUUGCAUGUACUUUAUGAAUAAGGAUCGGCUAACUCCGUGCCAGCAGCCGCGGUAAUACGGAGGAUCCGAGCGUUAUCCGGAUUUAUUGGGUUUAAAGGGAGCGUAGAUGGAUGUUUAAGUCAGUUGUGAAAGUUUGCGGCUCAACCGUAAAAUUGCAGUUGAUACUGGAUAUCUUGAGUGCAGUUGAGGCAGGCGGAAUUCGUGGUGUAGCGGUGAAAUGCUUAGAUAUCACGAAGAACUCCGAUUGCGAAGGCAGCCUGCUAAGCUGCAACUGACAUUGAGGCUCGAAAGUGUGGGUAUCAAACAGGAUUAGAUACCCUGGUAGUCCACACGGUAAACGAUGAAUACUCGCUGUUUGCGAUAUACUGCAAGCGGCCAAGCGAAAGCGUUAAGUAUUCCACCUGGGGAGUACGCCGGCAACGGUGAAACUCAAAGGAAUUGACGGGGGCCCGCACAAGCGGAGGAACAUGUGGUUUAAUUCGAUGAUACGCGAGGAACCUUACCCGGGCUUAAAUUGCAGAUGAAUUACGGUGAAAGCCGUAAGCCGCAAGGCAUCUGUGAAGGUGCUGCAUGGUUGUCGUCAGCUCGUGCCGUGAGGUGUCGGCUUAAGUGCCAUAACGAGCGCAACCCUUGUUGUCAGUUACUAACAGGUUCCGCUGAGGACUCUGACAAGACUGCCAUCGUAAGAUGUGAGGAAGGUGGGGAUGACGUCAAAUCAGCACGGCCCUUACGUCCGGGGCUACACACGUGUUACAAUGGGGGGUACAGAGGGCCGCUACCACGCGAGUGGAUGCCAAUCCCCAAAACCUCUCUCAGUUCGGACUGGAGUCUGCAACCCGACUCCACGAAGCUGGAUUCGCUAGUAAUCGCGCAUCAGCCACGGCGCGGUGAAUACGUUCCCGGGCCUUGUACACACCGCCCGUCAAGCCAUGGGAGCCGGGGGUACCUGAAGUGCGUAACCGCGAGGAGCGCCCUAGGGUA
rnacentral:rRNA from 1 species